rnacentral:tRNA from 1 species
GUCAGGAUGGCCGAGUGGUCUAAGGCGCCAGACUCAAGGAUCUGCCCUUCUCUCUCCUGGGAUUUCUGGUCUCUGUAUGGAGGCGUGGGUUCAAAUCCCACUUCUGACA